UACGUAGGUGGCAAGCGUUAUCCGGAUUUAUUGGGCGUAAAGGGAACGCAGGCGGUCUUUUAAGUCUGAUGUGAAAGCCUUCGGCUUAACCGGAGUAGUGCAUUGGAAACUGGGAGACUUGAGUGCAGAAGAGGAGAGUGGAACUCCAUGUGUAGCGGUGAAAUGCGUAGAUAAAUGGAAGAACACCAGUGGCGAAAGCGGCUCUCUGGUCUGUAACUGACGCUGAGGUUCGAAAGCGUGGGUAGCAAACAGG
rnacentral:rRNA from 1 species